AGAGUUUGAUUCUGGCUCAGGAUGAACGCUGGCGGCGUGCUUAACACAUGCAAGUCGAACGGGAAUUAUUUUAUUGAAACUUCGGUCGAUUUAAUUUAAUUCUAGUGGCGGACGGGUGAGUAACGCGUGGGUAACCUGCCUUAUACAGGGGGAUAACAGUCAGAAAUGGCUGCUAAUACCGCAUAAGCGCACAGAGCUGCAUGGCUCAGUGUGAAAAACUCCGGUGGUAUAAGAUGGACCCGCGUUGGAUUAGCUAGUUGGUGGGGCAACGGCCCACCAAGGCGACGAUCCAUAGCCGGCCUGAGAGGGUGAACGGCCACAUUGGGACUGAGACACGGCCCAGACUCCUACGGGAGGCAGCAGUGGGGAAUAUUGCACAAUGGGGGAAACCCUGAUGCAGCGACGCCGCGUGAAGGAAGAAGUAUCUCGGUAUGUAAACUUCUAUCAGCAGGGAAGAUAGUGACGGUACCUGACUAAGAAGCCCCGGCUAACUACGUGCCAGCAGCCGCGGUAAUACGUAGGGGGCAAGCGUUAUCCGGAUUUACUGGGUGUAAAGGGAGCGUAGACGGUGUGGCAAGUCUGAUGUGAAAGGCAUGGGCUCAACCUGUGGACUGCAUUGGAAACUGUCAUACUUGAGUGCCGGAGGGGUAAGCGGAAUUCCUAGUGUAGCGGUGAAAUGCGUAGAUAUUAGGAGGAACACCAGUGGCGAAGGCGGCUUACUGGACGGUAACUGACGUUGAGGCUCGAAAGCGUGGGGAGCAAACAGGAUUAGAUACCCUGGUAGUCCACGCCGUAAACGAUGAAAUAAUAGGGGUCGGGGGGCAGGGUUCUUCGGUGCCGUCGCAAACACAGAAAGUAUUCCACUGGGGGGGUACGUUCGCAAGAAAGAAACUCAAAGAAAAUGACGGGGACCCGCACACGCGGCGGAGCAUGUGGUUUAAUUUGAAGCAACGCGAAGAACCUUACCAAGUCUUGACAUCCGCCUGACCGAUCCUUAACCGGAUCUUUCUUUCGGGACAGGCGAGACAGGUGGUGCAUGGUUGUCGUCAGCUCGUGUCGUGAGAUGUUGGGUUAAGUCCCGCAACGAGCGCAACCCCUAUCCUCAGUAGCCAGCAUUUAAGGUGGGCACUCUGGGGAGACUGCCAGGGAUAACCUGGAGGAAGGCGGGGAGGACGUCAAAUCAUCAUGCCCCCUACGAUUUGGGCUACACACGUGCUACAAUGGCGUAAACAAAGGGAAGCGAGAGUGUGAGAUGGAGCAAAUCCCAAAAAUAACGUCCCAGUUCGGACUGUAGUCUGCAACCCGCCUACACGAAGCUGGAAUCGUUAGUAAUCGCGGAUCAGAAUGCCGCGGUGAAUAAGUUGCCGCGUCUUGCAC
rnacentral:rRNA from 1 species